GUGAUUAAAUCGAGCGUGUCUUCAUUGACCGCUCACCCUUCUCACCAUCCACAUACACCUGUGCACUGUUUAGCCUGAGGCCGGUUUUCCGGUCCAGGUUAUCAUAUUCAUACAAACUCUAGUCUUAUGAAUGUAACGUUUUAAUAACAUAAUA
rnacentral:misc_RNA from 1 species